CAGUAGCCGCGGGAAAACGGAGGGUGCAAGCGUUAAUCGGAAUUACUGGGCGUAAAGCGCACGCAGGCGGUCUGUCAAGUCAGAUGUGAAAUCCCCGGGCUUAACCUGGGAACUGCAUUUAAAACUGUCAGGCUGGAGUCUUGUAGAGGGGGGUGGAAUUCCAGGUGUAGCGGUGAAAUGCGUAGAGAUCUGGAGGAAUACCGGUGGCGAAGGCGGCCCCCUGGACAAAGACUGACGCUCAGGUGCGAAAGCGUGGGGAGCAAACAGGAUUAGAUACCCCGGUAGUCCCUGUCUCUUAUAC
rnacentral:rRNA from 1 species